UUUUGCCCCCCCACCACCCCUCAUCGCGACUGGCAGCCUGCACAGCACACUAAUGUCAAGUGUAAUAUGAUUCAAGAGGAUGUCGGAUGCUCUAGGUCUACAGAUUGUAAAGACAUCAACACAAAUUAUCCACAAAUGCAGAUUUUUGAAGUUGUUUCUUUCUUAUAGUUGGAUACCUAGUCUGUAUUUGGUACUCCAUGUAUUGAUUGUCAAACGAAGACUGUAAUGGCCUGAAUUUGUUAAAUGAAGAUUUGGGGGGGAAAAAAAGAAAAGUCUGGUUUGGUUGUCAUGGUAAUCAAAGGCAUAUAUAAUAUAUUCAAAAAAGAAAUUAAACACUAUAAAGACUAAUCUGCAUCACAUGGAUGUAGCAGUGAAAUGUGCAAUGUUGCAAUUUGACCACUAGAGAGCUGUAAGAAUGCAUCUAAUCCAGGUUGAGACUCUGAAUAAUUUCAGUAUUGAUACAGAGAGGGUCUAAAUUACAGAGUCACAAUCAUCUUUGUCCAAAGUGACAUGCAGCAGUCUGAUGAAAGUCUUGUUUUUUUUGCCCUGACAAACAUCGCUGUAUGAGAUAUUUUCCCCAUCCAUAUUUAUUUUUCUCUUUCCUUUAAUGUCAUGAUGAAGAAGACUGCCUGCUUGAGUAUUAUGCACACCCACAAGAUUACAAGAUUAAAGUACAUUAACAGUCAUAGUCAUCAUUACUAUUAGUAGCCACUGUAACAGUGGCGGAAGUACCAUCAUCAUUGUCAUGAAUCAAUGGUUUGUUUGUUUGUUGUUUGGUUAAUAAAACCAAUGCCACAUGGGCACUGGCCUCCGAUUCCUACAUAUGACACUGUAUUUUAGUCUCCCAAUCAAACUACAGUAACUUCAUACUUAUCUUUAAUGCCAAGACACUAGUCAAAUGAAAGAAAUAGUUUAACAAUUUUUAGGAUUAAUAACAACAUGCACCCACAGUGUUGAAAUUAUGUAAGUUUUCAAAGUUGUAUUGAUGUGUUUAAUAUUUAAUAUGUGGGAGAACAAUAUAAUAUAUUUACAGGUAAGCAUAGUUGUGUGUCGUUAUUGCACAUUGACAAAAACAUCAAAAUUGACUCUCAUUCACUGAAUGCUAGAGUCUGUAGUCCCCCCACAGUCUCGAUGAUUCUGAUCAGUGCAGUCAGAAUAAAUAAAAGGUCAAAUGGGGCUAGAAUAGGUCAUUCACCAGCCUGUUCUGCA